rfam:Trichobilharzia regenti genome assembly, scaffold: TRE_scaffold0012784
AUCCAGCUGACGAGUCCCAAAUAGGACGAAAUGUGUUUUAUCCUGGAU